ensembl:lncRNA
AACCCAUACAACAGUAACCCAUACAACGGAAAUAAUCAUUUAAUUUCUAAUUAUAACGAAGUUAGUAGAAACAAUAAUUAUAUUAACCUUAAUACCACGAACAAUAACAGUAACACUAACAACAGUAACAUUAACAACAGCAACACUAACAACAGCAAAACUAACAACAACAACACUAACAACAGCAACACUAACAACAAUUAUUAUUUACAACCAAAUGUAAAUGUUUUUACCAAUAAAAAUAAUACAAUCAUGAGAAUACAAAAUAUCAAACCUGAUAGUAGUAAUAAUAAUAAUAACAUUAAUAGUAAUAACAUUAAUAAUGAUUAUGUAAAAGGAAGUAACACUUAUGUGAAUGCUGUCCGUAACAAUGUUAUCCCCAUGAAUACUAAACACACAAUUUAUAAUAAAAACAUAAAUAACGAGAUUAGUAAUAAUAUUAUUAGUAACAGUAUCAUUAACAAUAAUAAUGUGAAUACUAACAAUUUAAACAACAUGAACAACAUGAACAACAUGAACAACGUGAAUAACUUAAGCAGCAUAAAUAACUUUACCAACUUUAACAACACAAACAACCAUGUGACUAACAAUAAUAGUACUACUACAUGUGGAAUAAAUAAUGAUAUUAACCCAUCAAUGAAUAUAAUAAACAAAGCGAGUAAUAUACAUCUUCAAUUUCAACACAUAAACUCUAAUAGCAAUAAUAACAUUAACGGCAAUAAUAACAUUAACAGCAAUAAUAAUAUUAACAGCAAUAAUAAUAUUAACGGCAAUAAUAAUAUUGAGAAUCAGUAUAAUAAGAUAUAUGAUAUGACUGAUAAUAUAUACAAUAAUGAUAUUGACAAUGUUAAUAAUUUUAAUAACGGAAAUAAUAAUAAUAAUAACAAUAUGUAUUCUUUUAAUAAUUAUAAUUCAAAUAGAUAUAAUACAAUUGGAAUUAGUAAUAAUAAUAUGGUUAUUAUGAACAAUGUAGAUAAGAAUAUAAAAAAAAAUAAUAUGACAACUAAUUUAUUAAUUAGUUCGAAAGUAAAUAAAGAUAAUAUAAAUAAUGAAACGAUCGAGAAAUGUAGUAAUGUAAUACCAAAUAAUUAUUAUUAUCAUCAUCAACAACAUCGGCAUAUACCUAAUCACAUAAUUAAUAACAAUAACUUAACUAAUAAUAUAAAAAAUAAUAAUCAAUUAAAAAAAAUAGUACCAACAGAUUUUAAACAAAUGAUUAUUAAUAACAAUAGUAACAUAAUGAAUAGAAAUGACAAUAAUAUUAUGAACAACUUCAACACAAUUAAUAAUGACACAACUAUUGUACAUAAUAACCAAACAAUAAAUAACAAUAAAAUAAAUUCUUUAAAAAAUAUAAAUAUUACAACAUUAAAUAAUAACAUUAACAGUGGUAAUAUUAACAGUGGUAACAUUAACAGUGGUAAUAUUAACAGUGGUAACAUUAACAGUGGUAACAUUAGCAGUGGUAACAUUAGCAGUGGUAACAUUAGCAGUGGUAACAUUAACAGUAAUACCAUUAGUAGUAACACCAUUAACAGUAAUACAAUUAACAGUAAUACAAUUAACAGUUAUACAAUUAACAGUAUUAAUAAGGGUAUUAUGAGUGUUAAUAAUAAUAUUUCAAAUAAUAAUUCUGAUAUAAAAAAUAAUUUAAAUGUAAUGAAUAAUAACAUUUUAAUAAAGGGAAAUAAUAAAAAUACACAAAUAAAAAACACAAUAAAAAAAUAUGAUACUUUACCAAUACAAUUAUUAAAUAAUUAUAGUAAUACAAAUAAAUUAGGAUAUUCAGAAAAAAUGAAUACAUCCAAUAUAAUGUAUGAUAUUAAAGAUAUAGAUGAAGGUUAUAUGAAUAAUUCGUUAAAUGGUCAGUCUAAUUUUAUAGCUAAUGUACAUACUGACCUACCCAACAAUAUAAAUAAUAACAUAAACAACGGCAUAAAUAAUAACAUAAGCAACGGCAUAAAUAAUAACAUAAGCAACAAUAUAAACAAUAACAUAAGCAACAAUAUAAAUAAUAACAUAAGCAACAAUCUCGAAAAUAAUGGAGUAGUAAAUGACCAACAAAUGAUUAAUAAAAAUGUUAUGAACUAUAAUUUUAUAAACAAUAAUAUGAAUGAUAUUGAUAAUAUAACAAAUAAUUUGCAUAUUAUUAAUAAUAAUAUUGUAACCCAAAAAAUAAAUAAUAAUAUAUCAAUAAAUUUGUCAAACGACUUGAAUAAUAAUGUUAAUAGUAUAAAUAAUAUGAAAAACAUAAGCAACAUAAACAACAUUAACGAUAUGAACAACUUAAACAACAUGAACAACUUGAAUAACGUAAGCAGCAUAAAUAACUUAAAUAACACGAAUGACAUAAAUAACAUGAACAAUAAUGUUAGUACAUUAACAAAUACAAAUAAUUUAGUCGGUACAAAUAACUUAGUCGGUACAAAUAAUUUAUUCGGUACAAAUAACUUAGUCGGUACAAAUAACUUAGUCGGUACAAAUAACUUAGUCGGUACAAAUAACUUAGUCGGUACAAAUAACUUAGUCGGUACAAAUAACUUAGUCGGUACAAAU